AGAGUUUGAUCCUGGCUCAGGAUGAACGCUGGCGGCGUGCCUAACACAUGCAAGUCGAACGAAGCAUCUUACCGGAUUCUUCGGAUGAAAGUUUGGUGACUGAGUGGCGGACGGGUGAGUAACGCGUGGGUAACCUGCCCUGUACAGGGGGAUAACAGCUGGAAACGGCUGCUAAUACCGCAUAAGCGCACGAGGAGACAUCACCUAGUGUGAAAAACUCCGGUGGUACAGGAUGGGCCCGCGUCUGAUUAGCUGGUUGGCAGGGUAACGGCCUACCAAGGCAACGAUCAGUAGCCGGUCUGAGAGGAUGAACGGCCACAUUGGGACUGAGACACGGUCCAAACUCCUACGGGAGGCAGCAGUGGGGAAUAUUGGGCAAUGGGCGCAAGCCUGACCCACGCAACGCCGCGUGAAGGAAGAAGGCUUUCGGGUUGUAAACUUCUUUUAAGUGGGAAGAGCAGAAGACGGUACCACUUGAAUAAGCCACGGCUAACUACGUGCCAGCAGCCGCGGUAAUACGUAGGUGGCAAGCGUUGUCCGGAUUUACUGGGUGUAAAGGGCGUGCAGCCGGGCAUGCAAGUCAGAUGUGAAAUCUCAGGGCUUAACCCUGAAACUGCAUUUGAAACUGUAUGUCUUGAGUGCCGGAGAGGUAAUCGGAAUUCCUUGUGUAGCGGUGAAAUGCGUAGAUAUAAGGAAGAACACCAGUGGCGAAGGCGGAUUACUGGACGGUAACUGACGGUGAGGCGCGAAAGCGUGGGGAGCGAACAGGAUUAGAUACCCUGGUAGUCCACGCUGUAAACGAUGGAUGCUAGGUGUGCGGGGACUGACCCCCUGCGUGC
rnacentral:rRNA from 1 species